rnacentral:rRNA from 1 species
CAACUUUCAGCAACGGAUCUCUUGGCUCUCGCAUCGAUGAAGAACGCAGCGAAAUGCGAUAAGUAAUGUGAAUU